rnacentral:rRNA from 1 species
UACGUAGGGUGCGAGCGUUAAUCGGAAUUACUGGGCGUAAAGCGUGCGCAGGCGGCUUUGCAAGACAGAUGUGAAAUCCCCGGGCUCAACCUGGGAACUGCAUUUGUGACUGCAAGGCUAGAGUACGGCAGAGGGGGAUAGAAUUCCGCGUGUAGCAGUGAAAUGCGUAGAUAUGCGGAGGAACACCAAUGGCGAAGGCAAUCCCCUGGGCCUGUACUGACGCUCAUGCACGAAAGCGUGGGGAGCAAACAGG